rnacentral:lncRNA from 15 species
AUGACAGCUUUUGUUUUCUUUGUCCUUGUUCACUCAAUUUACCCAUGGUUAACUUAUGUUUUUUAUUCUCCAGCCCUCUGCCACGGCUGCCGAUAUCGAGAGAGCUGUCACCCUGCCAAGCACACCUCGAUUAGUUGUACCAGAGCCUUUUGCGGCAUAAAUCCCCAGACGGGCAGCGAGGCAGAGAAAAAACGAGGGCUGAACGCACCAGUUUGCACACUUUUGAGAAAACUGCUGGAUUUUGAAUUGGUGGGUAGGGGAUAUUAGUGGGCAGGGGAAAUUAGAGGGCAGAGGACAUUAGUGGGCUGAGGACAUUAGUGAACAGGGGGCAUUAGAGGGCAGGGGACAUUACAGGACAUUAGUGGGCAGGGGGCAUGUCUCUAUCAGCAAACUUGAUCACAAUAUUGGAUUGAUGUGCU